CACUAGAUAGAUCUCAAGGCAGGGGUGGUGAUGAUAUAUUUUCUACCCUUUGUGCUAUUAAGAAGCUACUGUUAUGUUGUAAUAAUGAAACCUGGGCUAUAUAGGGAGGGUUUAAUAACUUCUUCAUAAAGUGGUUAAAUUAGUUAUCUAUUGUUACAUAACAAAUUAUCCCCAAACUUAGCAGCUAAAAACAACAGACAUUUAUAAUCUCACAAAGUUUCUGAGAAUCAGGGUUCAGGAGCAGCUAGCUGGGUGGUUCUGGCUCAGGGUCUCUGAUGAGGUUGCAGUCAAGCUAUUUGUUUGGGCUACAGUCUUCAGAAGGGCCUAGAGGACCUGCUUCCUAGAAGGCAUAUUCACAUGGCUGUUGGCUGGAGGCCUCAGUUCCUCGUCACACAGACCUUGCUAUACGGUUGCUUGAGUGCUCGUAUGGCAUGGCAGCUGGCUUCUCCCAGUGCAAGUGAUCCAACAGAAAGAAAGAAGGAAGCCAAAGGCCUUUGAUAACCUAGUUUCAGAAGUUACACAGUGUCACUUCUUCCUUAUUCUAGUCCACAGAAGUGAGUCACUAAGCCACGCUUAAGGGGAAGAGAAUUAGGCUCCACCUUUUGAAGGGAGUGUCAGAGAAUUUGUGGACAUAUUUUAAACACCAGAGUGGCUUUCCUUCAAAUAGCACCAGAGAAGGCAAACAAGUCAUCGUUACCCUAGUAGAUAAAAUAACCACCUGGCAUUUGAAUGUUCUGCUGGGAGACUGCACAAACUAUGGAAGUCUUACAACACACUCAUUGAAAUAGUAAAAAAUAAUACUUAUGAAGAUAGAUACUACAAUGAAUGGGAAAAAUCCCUGCCUUAAGGAUGAGAGAUAAAAAGAGAAGAGCUAACUCAGCUAAUCUGCCCAAACCCAGCCCAGCCUAGACAGAACCUCAGCUGAUCUACAGCAGUGGCAACCAGUUUCAUGCAGACUUCAGUCUUCUGGAAGUACAAGCUGACCAUGCCCACCUCAGCCCCACCUCUCACUGCUGCCCUGAAGUUUCUCUGGUCCUCAGCCAUAGGGCAUCCUUGCAAAGAACCCCUUGGCAUUCAUGCACACAAUCCAGAAGAACAGGGAAGUUAACACCCUACCCUGUGACAGUCCUUGACCAGAGGGAGAUGCAAGCUGAGUGGUAAAAGACAGAUGGUCCUAAUAUGCAUUUCAUAGGUUUAGCUAUUCCCUGGGAUCAAACACCCAGAUGCCUCUAGCAUUGGCCAACUCCAUAAUGCAUGCAUGCAUUGGCUUCCCAAUGAGUUGUUUUUACUGUUUCACUCUUUCAUCUCUCAUGCCUCUCCCUGGAAUCACACUCUCAGAUAAACUGCUUAGACUUAUGCCUUUAUCUCAAGCUUCGUUUUCUGAGGAACCAGCCUGUAACAUCCCCUAACUCAGGAAAAGCACUUCCAAUGUGCUCCAAAGCUGCUUCUUCAUUGGAAAUCACCACUCUGGAAUAAAAUUAUAUUGAGAUAGUUGGAAGGGAUAUCUUGACUAAAGAACUGGUAAUUAUCCUGAGUGCUGAGCAGGCUAUUUGCAUAAGGUACGUAAAUGAAAGUUCUAAGGGUAGAAAUUCAAAGUGGGCAUUGUUAUGUUCUAGUCAAUCGGUGUGGAAAACAAAGUGGAUUUUUAGCAGAGUGGUAUAAAAGCUCUAGCCCCCUGGAGAAUCUAUUUGGCCUGUUUUGGAGAUUUGCCUUUAAAAACAAAUGAGAGUACAGAUUUAGGUCUCUAGGGCUUUCCAUCUCCACAGUCUGAAAGUUUAAAAACACACACCAUCAGCACUUGCCUCAUCUUUCCUAAACUGGCGGUUGUCACAGUUCCUUUAAAGAAGUAAGACAGCGCCUCAGAAGACAGCAGCCACCUCCCACACCCCCACGCCCCCAGACACCCAGGAUAUAUCUUGUGUAUACUUAAGCUGUCUCUGACACACAUAAUUUCUUUUUCAUCCCUGAGUAAUCAGUCUUUUUUGUGCCCUUAGUAAAAAGAACACUAUAUUUUUGUACUGAAAAGACUGGGAGGAAAGGAAAAGUAAAAGAAAACCUCUUCCUCUCCCCCCAAAUUUCAGUGUAAAUUAGCAACAAAUAAAAGAUGGGAGGGGGAAGAAAACACAGACAUCUCUAGAAUAAGGGUAUUUUUUGUCAAGUGCUAGUUGAAGGUUCAGUUCUAUUUGUAUAUUUUAAAAUGUUUUCUUUCCGAUUCUGGGUGCUUAGGGGUUAAGGAUGAUUAGUGGCUGAAACCCUACUGCUUUGAAUAGGAGGGAUUAGUUUCCUUAUUUCAGGAUUAAGGUCAGUCUUAUCAACAGGCUGCUACAUCCUGUCAUCAGCCAGCUCCAGCUCUGCAAUCACUCUGCCAUGGUUCUAAAUCCUCCCUUGGGUUGCUGACCCCCUGAGCCCUGUGAUUUUCAUUUUGAUAUUACUAAACGGUAAGAAUAUUAGGAGGUGCCCACUUUAGGGCCCAAUAUAUGCUCCAUAUUAGGACAACACACAGAGUUCCCCCUAACUCUUCAUUGCCAUAAGAUUCUAGAGCAGGCAUCCUCAAACUACAGCCCGUGGGCCACAUGCAGGUGU